rnacentral:misc_RNA from 1 species
GAAAUGCGAUAAGUAAUGUGAAUUGCAGAAUUCAGUGAAUCAUCGAAUCUUUGAACGCACCUUGCGCUCCUUGGUAUUCCUUGGAGCAUGCCUGUUUGAGUAUCAUUACAUCUUCAAAGUAAAUCUUUUGUUAACUCAAUUGGUUUCUACUUUGGUAUUGGAGGUCUUUGCAGCUUCACACCUGCUCCUCUUUGUUCAUUAGCUGGAUCUCAGUGUUAUGCUUGGUUCCACUCGGCGUGAUAAGUUAUCUAUCGCUGAGGACACUGUAAAAGGUGGCCAAGGUAAAUGCAGAUGAACCGCUUCUAAUAGUCCAUUGACUUGGACAAUACUUUUAUGAUCUGAUCUCAAAUCAGGUAGGACUACCCGCUGAACUUAAGC